rnacentral:rRNA from 1 species
GAUCAUGGCUCAGGAUGAACGCUAGCUACAGGCUUAACACAUGCAAGUCGAGGGGCAUCAGGAAGAAAGCUUGCUUUCUUUGCUGGCGACCGGCGCACGGGUGAGUAACACGUAUCCAACCUGCCCUUUACUCGGGGAUAGCCUUUCGAAAGAAAGAUUAAUACCCGAUGGCAUAAUGAUUCCGCAUGGUUUCAUUAUUAAAGGAUUCCGGUAAGGAUGGGGAUGCGUUCCAUUUAGGGUUUGUUUGGGUU